rnacentral:rRNA from 1 species
UACGGAGGGUGCAAGCGUUAUCCGGAUUCACUGGGCUUAAAGGGUGCGUAGGUGGGUUGGUAAGUCAGUGGUGAAAUCCCCGAGCUUAACUUGGGAACUGCCAUUGAUACUAUCAGUCUUGAAUACCGUGGAGGUCGGCGGAAUAUGUCAUGUAGCGGUGAAAUGCUUAGAUAUGACAUAGAACACCAAUUGCGAAGGCAGCUGACUACGCGAGUAUUGACACUGAGGCACGAAAGCGUGGGGAUCAAACAGG